rnacentral:lncRNA from 1 species
CAGAUCACACCGAGUCAGCAGCCUUCCCUAGACCCGCCGCUUCCUCGCUCCGCGCUGGCCGCCCCCUCCCACCCUUGCAGCCCCUCUCUGUCUCCGCCUGCCCUGACUGCGCCCUCCCACGCAGACACGGGACUCAAUCCGCGCCUCGGCCGUCGGGCUCCUUGGGACUCUGGUGCGCCGGGGCCGGGGCGGGCUCCGGCUGGGGCUCCGCGGCCCCCUGCGGAAGCUGGUGCUGCAGAGUCUCGUGCCGCUGCUGCUGCGCCUGCAUGACCCCAGCAGGGACGCUGCUGAGGUUCAGCGAUACCCAGGCCACGUGCCCAACUUCCUGAGCCAGACCCAGGGCUACCUGCGGAGUCCACAGGACCCCCUGCGCCGGGCAGCCGCCGUGCUUAUAGGUGAGGCCGCCCGGGGUCACACUGCCCCUGGCACCGGGGCUUUGGGAGCUGGGCCAGCCUCCCCCUGGGGGGCUGUGGGGCCUGCACUCAUGCAUCUGCUGUGGUCCAGGCUUCCUUGUCCACCACGCCAGCCCCGGCUGUGUCAACCAGGACCUGCUGGACUCCCUGUUCCAGGACCUAGGGCGACUGCAGAGCGACCCCAAGCCGGCUGUGGCCGCGGCAGCGCACGUGUCCGCUCAGCAGGUGGCGAUGCUGGCCCGUGCCCGGGGCUG